rnacentral:rRNA from 1 species
GGCGAACGCUGGCGGCGUGCCUAAUACAUGCAAGUCGAGCGGAAUGAUGAAGAAGCUUGCUUCUUCUGAUUUUAGCGGCGGACGGGUGAGUAACACGUGGGCAACCUACCUUGUAGAUUGGGAUAACUCCGGGAAAACCGGGGCUAAUACCGAAUAAUCCAUUUUGCUUCAUGGCGAGAUGUUAAAAGGCGGCUUCGGCUGUCACUACGAGAUGGGCCCGCGGCGCAUUAGCUAGUUGGUAGGGUAAUGGCCUACCAAGGCGACGAUGCGUAGCCGACCUGAGAGGGUGAUCGGCCACACUGGGACUGAGACACGGCCCAGACUCCUACGGGAGGCAGCAGUAGGGAAUCUUCCACAAUGGACGAAAGUCUGAUGGAGCAACGCCGCGUGAGUGAAGAAGGUUUUCGGAUCGUAAAACUCUGUUGUAAGGGAAGAACACGUACGAGAGUAACUGCUCGUACCUUGACGGUACCUUAUUAGAAAGCCACGGCUAACUACGUG